rnacentral:lncRNA from 1 species
UUAGAUUGCUCUGUCCCCCAGGCUGGAGUGCAAUGGUAAAAUCUCAGCUCACUGCAACCUCCACCUCCCAGGUUCAAGCAGUUCUCCUGCCUCAGCCUCCUGAGUGGCUGGGAUUACAAGCACGCGCCAACAUGCCCCACUAAUUUUUGUAUUUUUAGUAGAGGAGGGGUUUUGCCAUGUUGGCCAGGCUGGUCUCGAACUCCUGACCUCAGAUGAUCUGCCCAUCUCAGCCUCCAACGGUGCUGGGAUUACAGGCAUGAGCCACCGCACCCAGCCGGGUGUUUCUUUACAGCAAUCAGAAAAUAGACUAAUACAGGGACAGGUGCCUGACAUGGAAGGAACAUCCAUCUUGGACUACAUGGAGUGAAAAGCAAGGGCUGAAUACGAUGGAACAAGAAGACGGAAGACGCCUGUCUUCUCAGGAUGGUGGUGCCAUUAUGCCAGCUGAAUCUAUGUGCAACAAAAAGUAAGCUUCUACCUUGUUUAACCCACUCUGAUUUGGGGUUUUCUGUCACUCACAGAUCAAUCUAAUCCUAACUAAUAUAAAUUUUAGUUACAUCUUCUUCUCCCUGCCUUUUAACUCUCCAACAACACCAGCAUCCCUUAAAAAAUGAGGCUACACAACUGUUCAUGAUAAAACUCUCCUUGUGGGAUACCCUAAGGUACCCUUAAGCACCUAAUUCUAGUCAAUAAAAGCAGGGCACGAAGCAGACUCUCCCUCACAAAAAGAUUAUGCCCUUACAUGGACAGGAAACCAAGACAAGUAUCCACAAAAGGAGAAACAUGGGCCGGGCGCGGUGGCUCACGCCUAUAAUCCCAGCACUUUGGGAGGCCGAGGUGGACGGAUCACAGGGUCAGGAGAUUGAGACCAUCCUGGCUAACAUGGUGAAACCCCGUCUCUACUAAAAUACAAAAAAAAAAUUAGCUGGGCGUGGUUGCGGGCGCCUGUGGUCCCAGCUAUUCGGGAGGCUGAGGCAGGAGAAUAGCACCAACCCGGGAGGCGGAGCUUGCAGUGAGCAGAGAUUGCGCCACUGCACUCCAGCCUGGGCAACACAGACUCCGCCUCAAAAAAAAAACAAAAAACAAAAGGAGAAAUACAGGAUGUUUUACAGUGCUUGUGGUGCUUGAUUUUUAUAUCUUGUCAUUAAGCUAUGCCUUUAUUUCCUUUGUGUUAAACCUCUAUUCUUGUUUACACCUGUUUUCUAUCUGUAGUUCA